rnacentral:lncRNA from 1 species
GUUUGGAUUUGUUGAAACGGAGUUAAUAGAUUGCAUAACAGAAGAAAGCUCUGUGCCUAAGAUUCAGAGGCUCAGAGCUGUUGUUUUAACUGACACUGGCUUGCCCUUCCAGGAAGCCUGGGGAGAGAGCGACGAGCGAGAGCCCAGAAUACUCCCCUAGACUCUCCUCCUGAGCGGUAAGGAAUCUAUUUUGCAUCCUCGAGGGUCUUCCUGGAUCAGGUAAGGUGCCGCCUUAGAAGAUAAUGAAAACUCGGGGUCUACAAGCUCUUAACAUGGAGUCCUUCGCACUAGGCCCUCGAAUCUCUCUAUACUCCAUUCAGUCUUUUGAAGGUCGCUUCCAUUCUGCAAACAUUGGCUGCUUGAUGGUGGGAUUUUCUAUUCCUCUGUUUACUCUCUUUCGCAUUAAGGCACUCAAUACUAUGCUUCAAGAGGUGACUGGAGGAGCCAUUUGGACUCCUACCAUGUAACCUACCAUGGAGUAACCGUGUAACUACUGUGUUUGGUCAAUCACAGGAACAGUUCCAUCUAAACUGAAAAAAAAAAACUAUCCCAUGCUUAAACUAUUCUUCCCAAGAAGCAAAGAAAGAUAAAUUAUGAUUAUUUUCAUGGAUGGCCUACUAAUAUAUGGCACUGAGCAUGUAUACAAAGUCUGUGGCUAAACUGAGGUGGGACAGGCGUGGAUUAGGUCCCUACCCAUUUCAGUGGUAAAUCUUCCACAGUGUUCUGGGCCUGGUUGUUCUUGAACCUAAAGCUCCCUGACUUAUAGACCUCCCAGUGGGUUGCUAGCUAGGGGUGAGUAGGGGCAGCUGUGCUUCUGGACCCCCACUCUGGGUCUCUGACAAGUCAUAGCUCUCCUACCUGUGCUAUGUUGCCAGCAAGCUGUACUGGGAAGUGGUUAG